rnacentral:lncRNA from 1 species
AGUGAAAACAACUUGGGAGUAGUAAUGAAGAUGACCAGAGGCCAGCGAGCUGAAAGUGUUUCCAGCAAAGCAGCCCUCUGAUCCAUAUACUUUAGCUACAACUUACAUCACCAAGGUCCAUAUUAUAUACUGUGAUAUUCCAGCUGCACAGCGAAGAAUCCGUCACCUGCUGACAAAAACAAAUGAUGCUGAGAGGUUUGGGCACAAUAAAGUGGAUAAUUAUACACAGGCACUUUUUCCCAUGCAGCAUUCUUUAAGGAUGUGCCAGAGGAUCUUGAAAGAUCUUUGAAGAGCUAUGAACUGAUAGAAAUACAAUCUUGGAUUUAUUUUUUAAUCAUUUGCUAGUUAAUAAAAUUACUGCUUUCAAUGUAGAAUUACAGCUUUUAACUGAUCCUACUUUAUUGCAGAUUUGCAUAAAGAAGAAGACAAUCUAAUGUAAUAUCUGAAAGCAAAACAAAGAGAAUAAUAAUAGUUUGAGGUCUGAAUUAUAUUCCUCUGCCUUUUGAUAUGCAUUGCCAAAUUUCCUGUAAGAUAUCCUAAUAUAUUUAUAUAGAAUUUACAAUUCUAUAUAAAUAUUUUAACUUUCUUAAUGUUGUGAUCUUACUUUUAAGAAUCUGGCAACUUAAAUUCAUGACUACUUAAAGAAUCACUUUAUCCUUAUACAUCUAAAGACACGAAAGUCUUAUUUCCUAAGGAAUAAUUGGACCAAAAAUUUUUCAAGCCAGUUUACUUAAGUCAUUAUUUUCCCUGUAACUCAGAAUACAUUAACUCCAGUAUCAAAAUGUAACCAUUAUGAUUCCUCAUGUCUUCAUGACUCUCUAAACUGUGUUGUUAAUCAUUUUGUGAUAAAUCUUUUCAGCAAGCCUAUGAUGACCAAAGUUCAUUAGGAUCAUCAAGAUGUGGAAAAAAAUAACACUAGGUUACAUUAAAAAUGGAAAACAUGCCAAAUUAACUCUUGCAGAUAACCCACUGUCGAAGAUAGGUGAGAUAAAUAAUUUAGGACAUUCAUUUUACAUUUUCAAAUUAAUAAUGUAUAUUCUGUGGCUUUCUAUUUAUAUAUAGAUCCACAUGGG